UGCAGUCGACGAUGAAGCCCUUCGGGGUGGAUUAGUGGCGAACGGGUGAGUAACACGUGGGCAAUCUGCCCUGCACUCUGGGACAAGCCCUGGAAACGGGGUCUAAUACCGGAUACUGAUCGCCUUGGGCAUCCUUGGUGAUCGAAAGCUCCGGCGGUGCAGGAUGAGCCCGCGGCCUAUCAGCUUGUUGGUGAGGUAAUGGCUCACCAAGGCGACGACGGGUAGCCGGCCUGAGAGGGCGACCGGCCACACUGGGACUGAGACACGGCCCAGACUCCUACGGGAGGCAGCAGUGGGGAAUAUUGCACAAUGGGCGAAAGCCUGAUGCAGCGACGCCGCGUGAGGGAUGACGGCCUUCGGGUUGUAAACCUCUUUCAGCAGGGAAGAAGCGAAAGUGACGGUACCUGCAGAAGAAGCGCCGGCUAACUACGUGCCAGCAGCCGCGGUAAUACGUAGGGCGCGAGCGUUGUCCGGAAUUAUUGGGCGUAAAGAGCUCGUAGGCGGCUUGUCGCGUCGGUUGUGAAAGCCCGGGGCUUAACCCCGGGUCUGCAGUCGAUACGGGCAGGCUAGAGUUCGGUAGGGGAGAUCGGAAUUCCUGGUGUAGCGGUGAAAUGCGCAGAUAUCAGGAGGAACACCGGUGGCGAAGGCGGAUCUCUGGGCCGAUACUGACGCUGAGGAGCGAAAGCGUGGGGAGCGAACAGGAUUAGAUACCCUGGUAGUCCACGCCGUAAACGGUGGGGCACUAGGUGUGGGCGACAUUCCACGUCGUCCGUGCCGCAGCUAACGCAUUAAGUGCCCCGCCUGGGGAGUACGGCCGCAAGGCUAAAACUCAAAGGAAUU
rnacentral:rRNA from 1 species